ACAUUGUCCGAACAGUAAAUUGACCAUUUUGAUGAUAAUUCCAUCUAAAACAAUCAUUCAGUUGACUCAACUGAAUAUGCACAAUAGAAGCACGCAAGUUAUGCCAAUUUGUUAAAUUCUGACCAACCAAAGCUCUCCUAAAAGAAACAUUCAACGGAACAGAUCUCAUAACAUUAGCAAUUGAAUAAUUCUUCCUUCGAACAAUGGCAUAUAGAGACGGAUACUUAUCUUUAAAAGUCACGUUACCUAUCCAUUUAUCUUUCCAAAAUCUAGUUUGUUCCUCAUUAUUCACAAUCCAGGAACCCAUAUUCAAGAAAGUAUUUUUAACUUUCAUGAGACCUGAUCAGAAAUGAGAAUCCCCUGGUUUCCUAUCAACUUGAGUUAUAGAAUGGUUAGAGAGAUACUUCCUUUUCAAUAAGUCCUGUCAAACCCCUUGCUCAUUUAUUAACUUGAACAACCAUUUACUCAAAAGACAUUUAUUUUGGAUCUCCAAAUCAUGAACACCUAAACCCCCUUGGUCUUUGGGUUGACAAAUUAUAUCCCAUCUUGUUAGUCUAUAUUUUUUCUUAUGAUCAUCACCUUGCCAAAAGAAACGUGAUCUAUAAUAAUCAAUUUUUUGAAGAACUCCCUUUGGAAUCUCAAAAAAAGAUAUCAUAAACAUAGCCAAACUUGAUAGAACAGAAUUAAUCAAAACCAAUCUUCCCCCCACAGACAUAUGUUUUCCUUUCCAACUACUAAGUUUCUUCUUAAUUCUUUGUUCGAUAAUCUUCCAAUCUUUAUUGCCAAGCUUUCUAAAAUGCAUUGGAAUACCGAGAUACUUAACAGGAAAAGAACCUAGCUUGCAGCCAAAGAUAUUAGAAUAUUGAUCAUUAUAUUUCUUUGCUUGACCAAAACAAAAUAAUUCACUUUUGUGAAAAUUUAUUUUCAAGCUAGACAACUUUUCAAACACUGAUAAAAUCAAUUUCAAAUUCUUGACUUCUUGUAAAUCAUGCUCCAAAAAUAUGAUGGUAUCAUUAGCAUAUUGCAAAAUAGAUAAACCAUCAUCCACUAAAUGAGGUAUUACCCCACUUAACAGACCAGCAUCUUUAGCCCUCUUAAUUAGUAAAGCUAGCAUAUCAGCCACGAUAUUAAAAAGAAUCGGAGACAGAGGAUCUCCUUGCCUAAGCCCUUUAUAGGUUUGGAAGUUAUUUCCAACUUGAUCAUUUACUUUAAUACCAACAUGACCACCUUGAAUGAAAGAAGCUAUCCAUUGACACCAUUUAUGUGAAAAGCCUUUCAUCCUCAAUGUCUGUUGAACAAAAGACCAUUUAACUUUGUCGUACGCUUUCUCAAAAUCAAUCUUAAAGAUUACACUACUAUUUUUACGAUGCAAUUCAUGUAUAGUCUCAUGAAGAAUAACAACCCCUUUCAUAAUAUUUCUCCCAGGAAUAAAAGCAGUUUGAGUAGGGCUAAUUACCUUUUGUGCCACUCCAAUAAUUCUAUUAGUAGCAACUUUGGUAAAAAUUUUAAACCUAACAUUAAGUAAGCAGAUAGGCCUAUAUUGCUGGAUUUUCAUGGCCUCCAUACACUUAGGCAAAAGAAUGAUAGUACCAAAAUUAAGAGAGAAUAAAGGCAAAGUACCAUUAUGAAACUCUUUAAAAAGAUCUAACAAAUCAGAUUUAAUAACAUUCCAAAAAACUUGGUAAAACUCAGCUGGAAAUCUAUCAGGACCCGGAGCCUUGUUAUGUUCCAUUUGGAAAAUUGCCUUUUUAAUUUCAUCCUCAGUAAAUGCAAGGUGGGCUAUGCAUUUCAUUGUGCAUUUUUUACUGCUUCAUUAUCAUCUCUCUCUUGACUUAUCUUGGAUCAUUAUGUCAAUACAGGGAGAUCACUACCGCCAAUGGCUCCACUGGGAGUAACAUGGAUUGCCCAUUCUCAAUGGAGAAGACAUUGUCCAACAUAUGCAAGAGAACUUUUUAUGAUAUCUUUGAUUAAGCAUGUGACAUUUACUUAUUCGCAUGCUCAUAUUCUAAACUUUAUAUCAAACAUGAUUGCAUUGGUUUCCAGUAGUCCAUUUGUGUGUUGGUUAAUAGGUGGAAUACGGCGGGGGAGGGCGGACGGCAGUCCCGCGGCAGCGGCCCCACCCUCUACCUUUGACACUGGCUAGUUUGCCAUCUUCCCCAGCGGUCGACGGUCGUGGAACAUUUUCACUCUCAACAGGUGGAGAAACUGAAUAGAAUAGGUUUGAUUUGGAUUAGAGAUUUUUAACCACCUGUAAAGAGGUUUAUUGAGCCACGCUGCAUUCAGUCACAUUUGCUGUUUGUCCAAUAUUAUCUGCUGAAUGUUUAUUUUGGUGAAGCUACUAGCUUGAAUCUUAGUAAUUCAACAAAAUUUUGAAUCUUGGUCUGUUAAGUUAAUGUUCCUAAUCAGUGAAAUGGGGGGAUUUUUGAGAAUGCGAACAAAAUAAUCAUAUUUGUACCUGGGUCUCUGAAUCAGUAUAAAGUUCCUGAGAAUGAGAAUGGAAAUAAUCAUAUUUGUCUGAACCUUGGUCUUUGAAUCAGUAGAAUAUGUGUUUCUAUUAAGUUGAUCUUGGUGUGAACCUUGGUCUUUGAAUCAGUAUGGACGUCGGUCUGAAUCUUUUGAGCUUAACCAUGGUUCAGACCAAUAUUCUUCUAGCUUAGGUACUCGGCAUCUAUGUGGCUUCUACUCAACAAAGUGUCAGUUGAAUUCAGUCGCAUUUAUCUUUGUGCAAUACUUUUAUCACAUCUGAUUCUAAAACAUCUUUACCACAUCUACUCCGGUGCUACUGAACUGAAUGGAGUACUCCAGUUCAAGGCAACUAAUAUAGGCUUACUUCACAAUUAUCUGCUUAAUUCAGUCACAUUUACUCCCAGAAAUUGUCUGCUGAAGCUGAUCUGCUCCUAAUACAGGAAUACUCAACAUCGAGUAAUCUCAAUUCUGUGUCAAAAAAAAAGUAAUCUCAAUUUACAUUCAGUCAAAAAAUUACUCCUACUCUGUAAUCUCAGUAAAGUCAGGAAUAUUCAGUCGAUUCACAUUUACUCAAGAUUCAGUAAUCUCAGUUGACACAAUUAAUUACUGUACUCAAUUUACAAUCUCAAUUCAAUAUUCAUUAAAAAAAGUACUCCAUAACCUCAGUACAUUCAGGAACAUUCAGUCAAUUCACAUUCAGUUCUUGGC
rnacentral:lncRNA from 1 species